rnacentral:rRNA from 1 species
AGAGUUUGAUCCUGGCUCAGGUUGAACGCUGGCGGUGCGCCUAAUACAUGCAAGUCGAGCGAGAAAUUGAAUUUAUUCAAUGGAAAGCGGCGAACGAGCGAGUAACACGUAAGUAUCUGCCCCGUACUCAGGGAUAACUGCCCGAAAGGGUAGCUAAUACCGGAUGGUCUCGAAAGAGUAAAGAUUUAUCGGUACGGGAGGAACUUGCGGCUUAUCAGCUAGUUGGUAGGGUAAAAGCCUACCAAGGCUAUGACGAGUAACUGGUGUGAGAGCAUGACCAGUCGCGAUGGGACUGAGAUACGGCCCAUACUCCUACGGGAGGCAGCAGUAGGGAAUAUUCCGCAAUGGACGAAAGUCUGACGGAGCGACACCGCGUGGAGGAUGACGGCCUAAGGGUUGUAAACUCCUUUUCUGUAGGAAGAAGAUCUGACGGUACUACAGGAAUAAGCCCCGGCUAAUUACGUGCCAGCAGCCGCGGUAAUACGUAAGGGGCAAGCGUUAACCGGAAUCAUUGGGCGUAAAGCGUCCGCAGGCGGAGAUGUAAGUCAGUUAUUAAAUACCGGAGCUCAACUUCGGUGCCGUAAUUGAAACUACAUUUCUAGAGGAUAGGAGAGGUGUGUGGAAUUGUGCAAGUAGGGGUAAAAUCCGUAGAUAUGCACAGGAAUACCAAAAGCGAAGGCAACACACUGGACUAUUCCUGACGCUCAGGGACGAAAGCGUAGGUAGCAAAACGGAUUAGAUACCCGUGUAGUCUACGCCGUAAACGAUGCGUGCUCGGUGUUGGAACCCUCGACCUGGUUUCAGUGCCUAAGGUAACCCGUUAAGCACGCCGCCUGUGUACUACGAUCGCAAGAUUAAAACACAAAGGAAUAGACGGGGACCCACACAAGCGGUGGAUCGCGGGGUUUAAUUCGUUAAUCAGCGAGUAACCUUACCCAGACUUGACAUCCUAGUCGCACCUUUCAGAGAUGAUUGGGUCAAUUCGGUUGGACUAGUGACAGGCGCUGCAUGGUUGUCGUCAGCUCGUGCCUUGAGGUGUUCGGUUAAGUCCGUUAACGAGCGCAACCCUCGUCGUAUGUUGUAUUUUCAUGCGAGACUGCCCGGCGUAACCGGGAGGAAGGUGGGGACGACGUCAAAUCAGCAUGGCCCUUAUGUCUGGGGCUACACCCACGAUACAAUGGCCGGUACAGACCGAAGCAAAGCAGCAAUGUGGAGCCAAUCGGACAAAACCGGUCUCAGUUCGGAUCGAAGUCUGCAACUCGACUUCGUGAAGCCGGAAUCGCUAGUAACCGUAUAUCAGUCAUGGUACGGUGAAUAUGUUCCUGGGUCUUGUACUCACCGCCCGUCAAGGCAUGGGAGCUGGGGGAGCCCGAAGUCUGCCAAAUAAUGGUGGCCUAAGGCUAAACCAGUAACUGGGCUUAAGUCGUAACAAGGUA